rnacentral:rRNA from 1 species
UACGGAGGGGACUAGCGUUGUUCGGAAUUACUGGGCGUAAAGCGCACGUAGGCGGAUUUGUAAGUCAGGGGUGAAAUCCCGGGGCUCAACCCCGGAACUGCCUUUGAUACUGGGUAUCUGGAGGUCGAGAGAGGCGAGUGGAAUUCCGAGUGUAGAGGUGAAAUUCGUAGAUAUUCGGAGGAACACCAGUGGCGAAGGCGGCUCGCUGGGACGGUACUGACGCUAAGGCGCGAAAGCGUGGGGAGCGAACAGG